UACGGAGGGAGCUAGCGUUGUUCGGAAAUACUGGGCGUCAAGCGAACGUAGGCGGCUACGUAAGUCAGGGGUGAGAUCCCGGGGCUCAACCCCGGAACUGACUUUGAAACUGCAUGGCUAGAAUCCUGGAGAGGCGAGUGGAAUUCCGAGUGUAGAGGUGAAAUUCGUAGAUAUUCGGAAGAACACCAGUGGCGAAGGCGACUCGCUGGACAGGUAUUGACGCUGAGGCGCGAAAGCGUGGGGAGCAAACAGG
rnacentral:misc_RNA from 1 species